CACCUAAUUUCUUUUGUAUCCAUUCAGAGAUGUUCUAUGCAACUGCACUCAAGAUAUUCUGUUAUUGCAGCACCAGUGGAUGAGCAUAGGGAAUGACUGAGCCAUAAGAUGAAAGGAUUCUGGAUGGGCAAAUGGAAUACUGUGUUCCUGACAUGGAAUAACCAUGGCAGAGGCAUGACUUCUCAGUUCAUAGUUAAGGGAGUUUCAGACAAUGAAUGUUUUGAAGAUAAAAUUUUGUAUAACCAGCAAUAUUUUGACAUUAUUCAAAGUGCUUCAUCUUAAAAUUAUGUUUUCCUUGUUCUUUGCUCAGUUGUUUGUCUGCCAAUUCACCAAGAUCUGGACAUAAAAGUUGAAGAAUAACCAAACAGUCUCAACAGACAGGAAGAUGUGUCCACACACACACAUCUGGUCUCCUCCUCUGGCAAUAGUUCAUAUUUGUCAGGAGGCUGGCUGUAAUUGAUGGUCAUGAGAUGGCAAGGGCCAACCUUACUGGGGCUUGUGUGAAUUAAAGCCUUCAUAUUGGCCUUAUUGGAAAGAUUUUCCAGAAAUAGCACCAGCACCAUCCUCACUACCUCCAGUAACAACAGUGAUCUCAUUUAAGCUACACUGUCAUCAGGGCCCUUUAUUAACAUUAUUUCUCAUACUCACAUGAGGAAAUUUAAAAUUCCGACAAAUGAAUUAAUUUUCCACAGGAUGUUUAGAUAGAAACUGGUAGAUCUUAAAUCCAACUCAUAUUUGCAUUAUGUUAUCUUAUAUAUUUUAUUAUCAGCUCUGGGAGUUUGUAAUGUUUCUAACGUGAUAAUUUAAGAGAAAUCACUGCUUGUUCAAAGUUAAUUCUCACUACCUUGUUAUACUGACUUAACAUCACCAAUAAGAAUGCUCUUUUGCAGCAUCAUAUAAUUCCCAAGUUCUUAAGCUCAUAAAACAGUUAUUUUCAAAACAUGUUGGUGAAAUGCUUUUUAAGACUCCAGUACAAGCUUGUCCAACCCACAGCCUGUGGGCCAUAUGCAGCCCAGGAUGACUUUGAAUGUGGCCCUACACAAAUAUGUAAACUUCCUUAAAACAUUAUAAGAUUUUUUUU